rnacentral:rRNA from 1 species
CAGUCGCCGCGGGAAUACAGAGGGUGCGAGCGUUAAUCGGAUUUACUGGGCGUAAAGCGUGCGUAGGCGGCUUCUUAAGUCGGAUGUGAAAUCCCUGAGCUUAACUUAGGAAUUGCAUUCGAUACUGGGAAGCUAGAGUAUGGGAGAGGAUGGUAGAAUUCCAGGUGUAGCUGUGAAAUGCGUAGAGAUCUGGAGGAAUACCGAUGGCGAAGGCAGCCAUCUGGCCUAAUACUGACGCUGAGGUACGAAAGCAUGGGGAGCAAACAGGAUUAGAUACCCCCGUAGUCCCUGUCUCUUAUAA